rnacentral:lncRNA from 1 species
CGUAUCGCUCAGAUGCAAUUCCAGUCUCCAUAUUCAUCUCCAUAGCGGCGAUGCAAAACAAAUCAUAGUAGAUUUAGGUUUUCAAACUUAGUGUUGUUUGCACUUAGAUUAGAUUUUGUUUUGAAUCUCAGAUCAAAUGAAAUACCUCAAUUGUUUCAAACAGAAUGAUGAAGAGACCAUUAAUUUGUCUCCGCCGUCGUUUUAACAUUGAGGUAUAACAACGCCGAGUCAUCGUUUCGAUCGUCAUUUGUUUCGUUGGCGAUACGAUUGUUUCUCGUCUACAAUUAUUUAUCUCAAUUUUUAGUUGCUUUUUUUUUUAUUUUUUUUUAUUAUUUUGUUGCGGAGUGCUUUUUGUUUUUGAUUAAGAGAUUGAACACAAGCGCAUAUGAUGUGUAAAUAAAUAUUUCUUCACUUUGAACCGAAUGGAUAUACAUACAUAUCCUUGCGGACACUCUUCAUUCACUGAUGCACUCUUGCUUCUUGUUUUUUUUUUUCUCUUUAAUUUUAUUUUUUCUUCAAAUUAAUUUGACUUUGAGUUUGCUUGAUCUAAUUGUAUUCAUAGACACUGCCAAUGAUGAUAUCAUACACCAAAUACCAUCUUUCGGGACUGAAUGGCUUUUUUGCCUUGUUGAUACUAUUCUGCAAUUCUGAGGCAUUUGUGUGUUUAUAUAGUUUUUAUUUUGCAGUCUUCUAAUUGGUUUACGAUUUUUAUCACUUCAGAAUGUAUAUUGUUGAAAGUUAAGUUUUAGUUAGUGUAUUUUGUGACGGGAGAUUUUAAUCCAAAUCUCCAACUUGAAAGGGGGCAAACUAGUUGAGUGUUUGUAUAACUCCCAAGUAAACGUUGCAUAUUGAUGUUUAUCGACGUUGACGGUCUUCUCUCCUCCGUUGGUGCUUGUCUCAUAUUCCAUCUCCUUGUAGAGCUGCGUUGCUGCCUUUACUUCUUUGGACGGCCAUGAGACACACAUUUUUUCCCAUAUGUUUUGUUUAAUCUAAAUGUCUUCUUAUGAACAUAGAUAGAUAUUGCCAAUGAUGAUAUAUUAUACACCAAUUACCAUCUUUCGGGACUGAAUGGCUUUUAUGCCUUGUGGAUAAUAUUCUGCAAUUCUGAGGCUU